rnacentral:misc_RNA from 1 species
AAGUCGUAACAAGGUUUCCGUAGGUGAACCUGCGGAAGGAUCAUUCAUAAUAAGUGUUUUAUGGCACUUUUUAAAUCCAUAUCCACCUUGUGUGCAAUGUCGGUCGAUCUUCUUCAUGGAGAUCGACCAAACAUCAACCUUUAUCUUUUAACUCUUUGUCUGAAAAAUAUUAUGAAUAAACAAUUCAAAAUACAACUUUCAACAACGGAUCUCUUGGCUCUCGCAACGAUGCUUUGUAGUCUUACUCACACUCAACCACUGUGCAUUGUUUCGUGGCGUUCGCGUCACCACACUUUCACCACUGAUUGAGUAACACAUACAUAAAAUACGCAUAAAACUUUUAGCAACGGAUCUCUAGGCUCUC